rnacentral:rRNA from 1 species
GGUGCCGGCGUCUUCGGCUACAUCGACGGCACCAACCCGGAGCCGGCCAAGCUCCUCGUCACCACCAAGGAUGGCAAGGAGACUUCAUCGCCCAACCCUCUCCACCCUAUAUGGGUACGGGAGGAUCAGCAGGUCCUUGGCUACCUGCUGAAUAACCUCACAAAAGAGGUCCUGGUCACGGUGACCACGGUCACCACGGCGGGCGCGCUCUGGACGACGCUUGCGGCCAUGUUCUCGUCGCCAUCGGCGAGUCGCAUCAACAACAUCCGCACCUCCCUCAUCAACGCGCAGAAGGGAAACCUCUCGGUGGCCUCCUAUUUCGCCGCCAUGCGUGGCUAUUCAGAUGAGCUGGCCGCGGCGGGCAAGCCGAUCCAGGACGAUGAGCUCAUCCCGUACAUCAUCCAUGGGUUGGAGGCGGACUAUCAACCUCUGGUGUCGGCUCUCGACGCCCGUGUCACUCCUGCGACCCUCGACGAGCUCUUCACCAUGCUGUCCAACUUCGACCAGCGCAUGGCCCAGUUCCAAGGAUCCGGUGGCUUCAAAUCUUCUGCAAACAUGGCGUCGCGCGGUCGGGGUGGCGGAUCCCGCUCGCGUGGCCCUCCUCGCUACAAGGGGGGCGAUCUGGCGGCGGCAAUGUCCGCGGCCACUCUUCUCUGCGCUCGGGCGGCCGAGGCCGCGGGCGCGGGCGCGGUGGUGGCAACAGGACGCGUCCAGAAACUCCAAGGUGCCAGAUCUGCGGGAAGCCCGGCCACACUGCCAAAGAUUGCUGGUACCGUUACGAUGAUGAUGCUGAUUCUCAAGACGAUGACAAGGUAG